UGGGGGAUUUUGCACAAUGGGCGCAAGCCUGAUGCAGCGACGCCGCGUGAGGGAUGAAGGCCUUCGGGUUGUAAACCUCUUUCGCUGGGUUGAAAGGCCAUGCUUUGGGUGUGGUUGAUUUGAACUGGUAAAGAAGUACCGGCUAACUACGUGCCAGCAGCCGCGGUAAUACGUAGGGUACUAGCGUUGUCCGGAUUUAUUGGGCGUAAAGGGCUUGCAGGUGGUUUGUCGCGUCUGUCGUAAAAUCCUGUGGCUUAACCAUGGGCUUGCGGUGGGUACGGGCAGGCUUGAGUGCGGUAGGGGAGACUGGAAUUCCUGGUGGAGCGGUGGAAUGCGCAGAGAUCAGGAGGAACACCGGUGGCGAAGGCGGGUCGCUGGGCCGUUACUGACGCUGAGGAGCGAAAGCGUGGGGAGCGAACAGG
rnacentral:rRNA from 1 species